GACGAACCGUGCGAACGUUAUUCGGAAUCACUGGGCUUAAAGGGUGCGUAGGCGGCCCUGAGGGUGGGGUGUGAAAUCCCUCGGCUUAACCGAGGAAUUGCGCUCCAAACCGCAGGGCUGGAGUGAGACAGAGGUGAGCGGAACUGAUGGUGGAGCGGUGAAAUGCGUUGAUAUCAUCAGGAACACCAGAGGCGAAGGCGGCUCACUGGGUCUCAACUGACGCUGAUGCACGAAAGCUAGGGUAGCGAACGGG
rnacentral:misc_RNA from 1 species